rnacentral:misc_RNA from 1 species
UUUUUUUUUUUUUUUUUUUUUGCUGUUCCCUGCAAGCAGUUGCUUCAAAGUUAGCUAUGGUGUCCCUAUAGUUGGACAAUACCACGAUUUGGUUCUCCAAACAAAAUUAAGUCGAUUAGAAUUGAAUUAAAAAUUAUUAGAAUCGACCUAAUUGAAAUUAACCUAAUUGAAAUUGACUUUGAAUCACUGUUAGAAUCAAAUUCAGUAAACCUCAACUGGCCUAACUAAAAUUAUCAUUGAAUUGAAUAGGAAUCGAUCAAAAGCAACAGAGCAGAAUUUCAACCCUUUUUUUGCGCCUAUGGAUAAUCACACAAGCUACAAGGGAAUGGCUAAACGUUUCCAUAAAGGUAUAAACCCUCUUUCCAUCCCAUCCCCUCAUUAAAUUGUUAAUGAUCGGAAAGCACAGAACAUAAAUGGUCAGGGAAGAAAAACCACCUUCAAAUUUUUUAUAAAAUUAUUAUUUGAAAAAGUUGAAUUUCUGGGCAAUUGACUAGCAACCAAAGAAAAUAUUGGUUUGGUACAAGAUCAAUGCAACUACAAAAUCGAAUGAAUGCACUGCUCUGUUAUUUUUAGGGGAAAAAAAUUAGGACUUGCAAAUUGUACAACACUAACAUGGCGAAGUAGCACUACUGUAACUAGUGACUAAUGAUAAAUGCGAAUAACUGUACCUACCUACAAAAAUGCAGCUUACAAAAACAAUUUCCAGUCUUAAAACUCCGAAAUUUUUUUCACUUACAUUUGAUGAAAAGUUAAAUUGCAGAUCAGGCAUCCAAUCCAUCAUUUCACACUGGAAACUUAUGUUUUACCUCAAAUGCCUGACACUGCCAGUCAUGCAGCUGCUUGAACUGGCCCACCAGUUCUAAAACCUUGACCACGACCACGAGGCCUUCCCCUCCCACGCCCACGACCACGAGUUUGAGCAGGCAGUUCUGCUGAUCCACCAUAACCAUUGUAAUAACCUGAUUUCUGCUUCAUAUUUCCACCACCAUACCCUCUUCCACGCCCUCGGAAACUGCGCCCUCUUCCAUGACCUCGACCUCUACUACCAUAUCCUCGACCACCAUCCCAACCCCCAUUGCUAUGUUCUGCUACACCAUUGCUAUUACCUCGCUCGUCAUCAUAUUCAGCUAAUGGCUUUACUUGAUCAGCUGGGAUUGGGGGCUGAUAUCCGAUAGAAGACAAAUUAAGCUCCUUCUUAGACAGGGUAAUCGUGAUAACUGAAAUAUGGCGGGUGGUUUCUAGGCUUCUUCUAAGGGUUCCCAAGUGUCAGUUAUAUCAACAGAUCCAAUUGAUGUGAUUUGAUGAAGAUCAACAACUCGUCUCUUGAGCAAUUCAGCAAUCAUCACAGUCUUGUUGAUAGCUCUACCCGUAGCUUUCAGGACAACCUCAUCAGUGCCUUUGUCCUGGAAAAGAGAAAGAGCAUAUGAAAUGUAAUUCCUCAUCCUCCCUUGAGCAGUAAUCCUCAAUUCGUUCUCAUUGAUAGCUGUCUCCGCCUUAGGCUUCUCUACCCUCUGAUACCGAUCCAUUCUAUCGGCUGUGGCGGUCUUAUCUGUGGAGCUUCCUGCUUUCUGCUUUGUGCUUGGCUUUUGAUUUUGAGAUUUUU